rnacentral:tRNA from 1 species
GAGGGAGGCUUGCCAACAACGGAGGCUGCUACCCUCCGUACCCUCGGUUGAAUUCCGAUGCUUCCUCG